rnacentral:rRNA from 1 species
UACAGAGGUCUCAACCGUUGUUCGGAUUCAUUGGGCGUAAAGGGUGCGUAGGCGGUCGGGUAAGUCGGAUGUGAAAUCUCAGGGCUCAACCCUGAAACUGCAUUCGAUACUGCUUGGCUAGGGUACUGGAGAGGAGACUGGAAUUUACGGUGUAGCAGUGAAAUGCGUAGAUAUCGUAAGGAAGACCACCAAUGGGCGAAAAGCAGCUCUCUGGGACGGUACUGACGCUGAGACGCGAAAGC